GUGGGGAAUAUUGGACAAUGGGCGAAAGCCUGAUCCAGCCAUGCCGCGUGAGUGAUGAAGGCCUUAGGGUUGUAAAGCUCUUUCAGUAGGGAAGAUAAUGACGGUACCUACAGAAGAAGCCCCGGCUAACUUCGUGCCAGCAGCCGCGGUAAUACGAAGGGGGCUAGCGUUGUUCGGAUUUACUGGGCGUAAAGCGCACGUAGGCGGAUUGGUCAGUUAGAGGUGAAAUCCUGGAGCUCAACUCCAGAACUGCCUUUAAUACUGCCAGUCUAGAGUCCAGAAGAGGUGAGUGGAACUCCUAGUGUAGAGGUGGAAUUCGUAGAUAUUCGGAAGAACACCAGUGGCGAAGGCGACUCACUGGCCCAAUACUGACGCUGAGGCGCGAAAGCGUGGGGAGCAAACAGGAUUAGAUACCCGAGUAGUCC
rnacentral:rRNA from 1 species